AAAACAAAAAUUGCAAGGUUGCAGUUUGAAAGGUACAGGGCAAUAUGAUAUGGACAACGGCCUGGAAAAAUUCGGAAAUGGGCUAAGUUGGUUCUAUAAGUGUCUCUUAGAGUGACCCUGGUGCGCUCUAACACCUCAAUCCUUUUUCAAUCCGUAACCUCUUCGGUUUGACAGUGGAGCCAGUGUUUUGCGUUGUGUCCGUCCAUCCGAGAACAACUUUGUAGCACCGCUCGGCUUUAAAAUCAUUAAAUGUCGACGGUCCCACCCUUCUAUGACACCUACUACCCCGCAAGAGUGAAUUGGGCAACCACCCCUAACACUACUCAGUCCCCGCAGAUGCCUCCAUGCGUCCGAAAAAUUCGGAAAUGACCCGAAUCGCAUCCAUAGAGUUCUCUGGCACUCCUCCCUGACCACGCACAAAAUCCAUCCCUUUUAAUUUGUACCUGCUAUUCCUUUAGUCGGACAGCGAGUCGCGAUUGUGCCAGACUACAGGUGAUCGCUUCAGGGCAAAACAUGCAUUUGAGAUUAAAAAAAUCCUUGUUGUCUCUCCAGCCAUAUUGUUUUUAUUUUCUCUUUGUGUCAGGUUUCCUUUCCUCCCUAGAUUUUCCUUAUGUGUAUCUUUCAUGCUUCUUUCAGCUGAUUUUUCAUCUGCGUUCUUUUUGUUCCUGAUUAUCCUGAUGCUUCCUUUUCCUCUGAAAACCGCAUUACUUUUUCGUGUACUCGCACAUCUCCAUAUUUUUCGUUUUUUUUUUAUGUUGCUUGUAGGGCAGCAAACAUUGUUAAAGCAAAACAAAAAAAAUUUUAACACAAAUUUAUUGUUCUAAGGCAAUGCGUCUGUACAAAAAACAAAGCAAAAAUGUGAAACAAAACAGGACUCAUAAAACAAGGAAAUAAGAAAUCUGAAAAAAAUAGAAACAAAAACAAAACAAAUAAUAAAAAAGCUAAAAACAAAUGAAAUUUUGACACUCUCGAAACCGCUUUUCUUCUUUUUGCUGGCGACAUUCUAAAUCAAACUAACCCAACUGUAAACCAAAUCAAUCAAAAUAUUGCCGACAUUUCAAAUCAUUACAAAAACAAAAAAUAAGGCCAAAAUGGCCUUUAACAGGAAAAAAUUCAAAAAAAGAAAGUUGUUGACAAAUCGCUUAGUCAAGUAAAGCGUUCGAAGCAAACUGAAUUGUUUUCUUGAAAUGUCAGCAACAUUUUAAUUGACUUUGUUUACAUAGGUUUAAUUUAGAAUGCCGCUGGCAAGAAAGAGAGCGAUAUUUCGGUAGAGCGUCAAAAUUUUAUAGAAUUUCACAAUGUAUUUCUUCGAAGGUUCUCAAUAUUACAUAAUAAACAAUAAAACAAACGCUUAUAGAGCCGACGCUAGAUGUUAGUUGCUAUUUACAAAUUAUUUUGAGAAAGGAUAAAAUUUUUCAAAUACAAACGUUUCGGCCAUUGGUUUUGGCCAUCUUCAGUGUGACAAGAUUUCAACCGUAAAUUACAAUUACUCCAUAUAUGAAAUUAGUGUUGUCAAUUCUCUUCUUAUUGGUGUUAUGUUCCUAUUAUCUAUUACAUCACGUUAACUAUUGUUGCAGAAAUUAGAAGCCGUAUGUGAAUAAAGAAACCACUCGUUCCUUUUCGCCAACUGACAUCGUCAUAAUCAGCACGUUCAUCUCACCUUUCACCUCAGUCCUCAUCCAACUAAUUUUUCAAUAGAAACCUCUCUAGAAAAAAGUAAGAUAAUGAUAACCGAGCAGAAGUAAAAAAAAGAACAAUGUGAUCCCUGACUAGGAGGGAUAAGUCCUAUACUAAUUUUUCACUUGUUCUAAAUUACAUCUCACAAUGACUUUAUCAUGUUGUAGUUUGGAAGAAGACAUUUCAUUUGUUUUCAGUUUUCUCGUUACUAUUUGUUUUGUUUUUGUUUCCUUUUUUCCAGUUUUUUAAUUUUCUUAUUUGUAAGUUUUCAUGUUUUGUUUCUUAUUUUCUUUGUUUUUUGUACAAACGCAUUGCCUUAGAGCAACAAAUUUGUGUUCACAAUUUUUUUUGUUUUGCUUUAACAAUGUUUUGCUGUCUCACAAACAAGAUAAAAAUAAAAAAUAUAAAAAUGUAAGAGAGUACAUAAAAAAGUAAUGCGUUUUUCAGGAAAAAAUAAAAGGAAUUAAGAACAAAAAGGACACAGACAAAGAGUCAGCUGGAAGAGGCAUGAAAGCAAAGAAAGAUGCACAUAGGGCAAAUCUAGGGAGGAAAGGAAACCUAACACAAAAAGGAAAUAAAAAGGAAGACUAAAAGAAUAGCAGAUAAAGAUUAAAAGGGGUGGGUUUCGUGCGUGGUCAAGAAGGCGUGCCAAAGAUCUUUACGGGUGCGGUUCGGCUCAUUUCCGAAUUUUCCGGACGCAUGAAGGCACCUACGGAGGCUUAUUAGUGUUAGGAGUGAUUGCCCAACCCACCCUCGCGGGGUGGUAGGAGUCAUAGAAGGGUGGGGCCUUCGACAUUUAACGAUUUUAAAGCCGAGUGGUGCUACAAAGUUGUCCUCGGAUGGACGGACUCAACGCAAAACGCUGUCUUCACUGUCAGACCAAAGGGGUGGCAAAUCAGGGCUGAAAAGAAAUGGGGGUGUCAGGGAUUUGCCUCAAGGGGGCGUAACUCCGAAACUACUGGACCCACAGUGAGGAGAUUUUGCAGAGGUCAAGUCGACACUUCGGGCUACAUCAUAUAAAAAUUUCAGAUUUUUGACUCAACUUUUACAAACUUGGAGCUAUUUCAAACUUUUGUUCCUUUAAUUUCGUCAACUAGUUUAUAAUAAUUAUGCUAUGAGAGUGUAAUCAAUAACAAACAAUAACUUUUUAUUUGGAGAGAAUACUGUAUGUAUGUAAUUCGCUAAUUAAAUAUAAAUAUAAAUA
rnacentral:lncRNA from 1 species